AUUUAUAAUGAAGCAAAGCAAUUAUUUGUAGUGCUUUGUUUCUUCAGCAACAGUGCAGAAAUUAAACGCUUGAUUCUUUUAUUGAAAAAUAAACAAAAAUCAAGCAGCGGCCAGACAACCGUAGAUAUGGUAUCCACAGAUGAACGGCUCUUUUAAUCCUUUUGUCUACUGAUUCCAUCCCACAUUU